UACGGAGGGAGCUAGCGUUAUUCGGAAUUACUGGGCGUAAAGCGUACGUAGGCGGCUUUGUAAGUAAGAGGUGAAAGCCCGGAGCUUAACUCCGGAACUGCCUUUUAGACUGCAUCGCUUGAAUCCAGGAGAGGUGAGUGGAAUUCCGAGUGUAGAGGUGAAAUUCGUAGAUAUUCGGAAGAACACCAGUGGCGAAGGCGACUGACUGGACAUGUAUUGACGCUGAGGUGCGAAAGCGUGGGGAGCAAACAGG
rnacentral:rRNA from 1 species